rnacentral:tRNA from 13 species
AAGUAGGUUAAUUGGUUAAACCGCUAAAUUGUAAAUUUAGUUCCGCUGGAAUUGCAAGUUCAAAUCUUGCCUUG